ensembl:lncRNA
GUCACUUGGAAAUGCUGCUGGCUGUGAGGGGGGGAGGGGGCAGAUGUGCACAGAGCUGUGCAGGCUUGUCCUUUGCAUGGAUGUUCUUUGUAGAAAUCCACCUCGGAGCCAUCUCCUGAUGUGUAAGAAUUUCCCAGACAAACCUUGAGCUAAGCAAUGCGUUUUUUCCUUAGGAAAUGUUGGUCUUCAGCGAUGUUCAAAGCCUGUGUAUUUCGGCUAGACUCUGGCUUCAGGUCGGUUCCCCCAAAAGGCUCAGAAGCGACCUGAACCAAACAGUCAACCUAGAAGAGAUCACGGAAGAGGUAAAGAAACUUAAAAUCCAUUAGCAAAGGCAGUUCAACCUCUCAAGAAACCUUGUGCUAGGCACAACACUCUUUUCUGGGGGUCCACGUUCCCUACAACCUCCUGAUCCCAUUCUGUACCCAUUCCUUUGCUUCUCCCAUCCUGAAACUGCCACCUGGAAGAAAGAACGACGUCGUUUUCCUUCAGAAAAUGCGAUUUCAUGCCACAUACCUUCUUUUAAUACCAAGUCAUACAGUUCCCUUCAGCAACCAAGAACUGACUUUUAUAUUGGCAUUCGACAGAUUGGUGAACAUACCUAUCAGUGAUAGUAGCGCCCCUCCCCUCCCCCGCACGCACGCACACACACACACACACACACACACACACACACACCCAAGAUCAGAACCAAACAAAACAAAAAAAAAUUGCUUUCUUACGUUUCACAUGUCAGGAUGGUGCCAGACACUCUUAUUGGAUAGUCAAAAAUCUCUUUUGUUUCUGUGUAAAAGGGAGGUCCUUUCAAGGCGUGAAUGUUUCAGAACUUUAAUUUAUUUGGAAAUGACCCAGCUCUUCAGUACACUGUCGUCACUUAGUUUAGCACAGGAUAGAAACUCGGGUAACCAAAACACCUGGAGAAACGAUUGUAUGUUCAGUUCAGUUCAGUGGCUCAGUCGUGUCUGAC